CCUAGAACAUCAGGUGGUCCUAGAACAUCAGGACCUCCUAGAACAUCAGGUGGUCCUAGAACAUCAGGUGGUCCUAGAACAUCAGGACCUCCUAGAACAUCAGGUGGUCCUAGAACAUCAGGUGGUCCUACAACAUCAGGACCUCCUAGAACAUCAGGUGGUCCUAGAACAUCAGGUGGUCCUGAAACAUGGUGUGAUCCAUUUAAUCGCG